GAAUUCAAUUUUUAUUUUAAAUGUUCAGAUUCAACAAAACUGUUCUCAAUCACUUUGUCAAAAUGGUGGAACAUGUACUGAUACAAUUGUAAAUAUUAAUAAUCAGAGCCUCUCCUCAUUUAACUGCUCAUGUAGAGCUGGCUAUGAAGGACCACUGUGUGAGAAACCUGUAGACUACUGUAAUAAAGAUGGUUACAAGUGUUUCAAUAACGGGAAAUGUAUCAAUAACCCUGAGUACCAGAACUACACUUGUAAUUGUGACAAUGCUACUGAUUUUAUUGGCCCUAACUGUUCCACCAAAGUCAACAACUGCUAUACAAACAAUUCCUGUGUCAAUGGUAAAUGUAUAGAUGGAAUUAACAACUACACCUGUCAGUGUCCUCUA
rnacentral:sRNA from 1 species